rnacentral:rRNA from 1 species
CAGCCGCCGCGGUAAUACGAGGGGGGCAAGCGUUGUUCGGAAUUAUUGGGCGUAAAGGGUGCGUAGGCGGUUUGGCAAGUUUGGUGUGAAAUCUUCGGGCUCAACUCGAAGUCUGCAUCGAAAACUGCCGGGCUUGAGUAUGGGAGAGGUGAGUGGAAUUUCCGGUGUAGCGGUGAAAUGCGUAGAUAUCGGAAGGAACACCUGUGGCGAAAGCGGCUCACUGGACCAUAACUGACGCUGAUGCACGAAAGCUAGGGGAGCAAACAGGAUUAGAACCCCCGUAGUCCCUGUCUCUUAUAUU